rnacentral:rRNA from 1 species
UACGGCGUUGAUAGGUCAGGUGUGUAAGUGCUGUGAGGCAUUGAGCUAACUGAUACUAAUUGCCCGUGAGGCUUAACCAUACAACACCCAAGGGGUUU